UACGGAGGGGGCAAGCGUUGUUCGGAUUUACUGGGCGUAAAGGGCGCGUAGGCGGCAAUUCAAGUCAGCUGUGAAAUCUCCGGGCUUAACUCGGAACGGUCAGCUGAUACUGCUUUGCUAGAGUGCAGAAGGGGCAAUCGGAAUUCUUGGUGUAGCGGUGAAAUGCGUAGAUAUCAAGAGGAACACCUGAGGUGAAGACGGGUUGCUGGGCUGACACUGACGCUGAGGCGCGAAAGCAUGGGGAGCGAACAGG
rnacentral:rRNA from 1 species